AGUGAACGCUGGCGGUAGGCCUAACACAUGCAAGUCGAACGGCAGCACAGUAAGAGCUUGCUCUUACGGGUGGCGAGUGGCGGACGGGUGAGGAAUACAUCGGAAUCUACUUUUUCGUGGGGGAUAACGUAGGGAAACUUACGCUAAUACCGCAUACGACCUACGGGUGAAAGCAGGGGAUCUUCGGACCUUGCGCGAUUGAAUGAGCCGAUGUCGGAUUAGCUAGUUGGCGGGGUAAAGGCCCACCAAGGCGACGAUCCGUAGCUGGUCUGAGAGGAUGAUCAGCCACACUGGAACUGAGACACGGUCCAGACUCCUACGGGAGGCAGCAGUGGGGAAUAUUGGACAAAGGGCGCAAGCCUGAUCCAGCCAUACCGCGUGGGCGAAGAAGGCCUUCGGGUUGUAAAGCCCUUUUGUUGGGAAGGAAAAGCAGCAGGUUAAUACCCCGCUGUUCUGACGGUACCCAAAGAAUAAGCACCGGCUAACUUCGUG
rnacentral:rRNA from 1 species